rnacentral:rRNA from 1 species
AUUGAACGCUGGCGGCAGGCUUAACACAUGCUAGUCGAACGAUGACUCUCUAGCUUGCUAGAGAUGAUUAGUGGCGGACGGGUGAGUAACAUUUAGGAAUCUACCUAGUAGUGGGGGAUAGCUCGGGGAAACUCGAAUUAAUACCGCAUACGACCUACGGGUGAAAGGGGGCGCAAGCUCUUGCUAUUAGAUGAGCCUAAAUCAGAUUAGCUAGUUGGUGGGGUAAAGGCCCACCAAGGCGACGAUCUGUAACUGGUCUGAGAGGAUGAUCAGUCACACCGGAACUGAGACACGGUCCGGACUCCUACGGGAGGCAGCAGUGGGGAAUAUUGGACAAUGGGGGCAACCCUGAUCCAGCCAUGCCGCGUGUGUGAAGAAGGCCUUUUGGUUGUAAAGCACUUUAAGCAGGGAGGAGAGGCUAAUGGUUAAUACCCAUUAGAUUAGACGUUACCUGCAGAAUAAGCACCGGCUAACUCUGUG